UUUUGUUAUCAUUUCCCUCUCAGCAGAGCCUUCUGCCAGGGAAAGCCCUAUAGUAGGAGCUCCUAAGAGUGACUGAGGCUUGAGAACAGCCAGAAGGCAAGCAACAUGAAGCCAUUUAAAGCAAACCAGAGGAAGUCCAGUGCUUGACUAUUUAUUUUAUGAAGUUAGGGGCUGGAUAUGUUAAGCAAAUGUUUUUUUAAUUGUGGCAGUAUGAGAAAACAAUGGGGCAAGGGCUGCGGGGGACCGACCGGCAGUGUCAGGCCUCCACCCCUCCUACUCCCACCCCAAAAUCUCUAGAGAAUGACAGGAAAAAUUAAAGACGGGGCUUUUCUUUUCGUGGUCACAUGUCUACGCUGCUGCUGUAAUAAGAACCUGCACCAAUUAGAAAUGUUUCACCUUCUCCUCUCCGCCCCUCCCCGGGCACACUUCGGAGCAGACCGGGUUGUGGACUCCAGGAGUUUGCCAAACACAGCAAACACUGGUACGUGUGGCCGCCGGCCUGGCCGGGCAGGGUGUGUGCGGGUAACAAGCGGUCGAGGCAGUGCCCCAGGUCGGUGGCCUAUGGAGCGUGGAGCCCAGGGAGGCGGAAGACGCCUGUGUUUGCGGCGCUCCGGCGGCUGAGCGAGUGUGAGCAUCGACCCCAGGGCGCCCUUCCAGGGGCCGCUUUGUGAACAGGUGUGUGUAAGAGGCGGGGACGCGUGCGGGUCUGUAGCCGAGCGCCGCGAAGGUGCUGCAGGUCCGGCUCCAACGCGCCGGCACUUGGCCGGCUUCGUGGCCCUUAAGGGGCCGCGAGCCCAGCGGGUCC
rnacentral:lncRNA from 1 species